rnacentral:misc_RNA from 1 species
CUGGCUUACCUCCUCAGUUAUACAUCAAGGAUUGUAUCUUCUUGAUUGUAUUGUGGGUUUCCUGUGUUGAAUUCCAAUAUGAUGGUAUCGUUUUGGCUUAUCGAAGUCCCUUUUCAUCUUGAGACGCCUUUGCGAUUCAGGAUGAACUUUGAAGUUGUCUCUGUAUUCCACUAUGUUGAUGCAAAUGCAUCGACGUUGUGGCAUAUUGAGUGUGGCUUGGUAUCCUGGAUACAGAACAUUAUGUGGGCAUGGGGUCUCUUUUGGCUCUUGUUUUGUCCUUGAUUAGUGUUCUUUGAAACGACAGCCCAUGCACGCCUAGGCUUGUACCUGCGUGAUGAGCUUUGUCAAAAGGAAUGCUACCUGGUUGAUCCUGCCAGUAGUCAUAUGCUUGUCUCAAAGAUUAAGCCAUGCA